rnacentral:rRNA from 1 species
CCUACGAGAGGCUGCAGUGAGGAAUAUUGGUCAAUGGGCGCGAGCCUGAACCAGCCAAGUAGCGUGAAGGAUGACUGCCCUACGGGUUGUAAACUUCUUUUAUAAAGGAAUAAAGUGAGGCACGUGUGCCUUUUUGUAGGUACUUUAUGAAUAAGGAUCGGCUAACACCGUGCUAGCAGCCGCGGUAAUGCGGCGGAUCCGAGCGUUAUCCGGAUUUAUUGGGUUUAAAGGGCGCGUAGAUGGGUUGUUAAGUCAGUUGUGAAAGUUUGCGGCUAAACCGUAAAAUUGCAGUUGAUACUGGCAGUCUUGAGUACAGUUGAGGUGGGCGGAAUUCGUGGUGUAGCGGUGAAAUGCUUAGAUAUCACGAAGAACUCCGAUUGCGAAGGCAGCUUACUAAACUGCCACUGACAUUGAUGCUCGAAAGUGUGGGUAUCGAACAGGAUUAGAUACCCUAGUAGUC